GGUGCCUUUCUAAAGAUGAAUGCUUCUCCACAUGUAGUGGCCAUGAUAGUCUUAACAUUUGGAGGGAUCCACGGAGACUCAGUGACCCAGAUGCCAGGGCAAACGACUGUCUCAGAAGGGGUUUUCCUCACUGUUAACUGCACUUAUACAGCUAAAGCCACAAAUUACCCAUCUCUUUUCUGGUAUGUCCAGUACCCUGGAAAAACUCCACAGCUCCUCUUCAGAGUCUCAAAGGCCAAGGACAAAGGAGGCAACAAAGGUUUUGAAGCCACAUAUGAUAAAGAAACCAGCUCCUUUCACUUGGAGAAAUUCUCAGUGCAAGAGUCAGACUCAGCUGUGUACUACUGCGCCCUGAGUGACACAGUGGUGGGAACUGCAGGGGGAGCUGAGCACCAACUUUGA